rnacentral:rRNA from 1 species
AGUGAACGCUGGCGGUAGGCCUAACACAUGCAAGUCGAACGGCAGCACAGUAAGAGCUUGCUCUUACGGGUGGCGAGUGGCGGACGGGUGAGGAAUACAUCGGAAUCUACUUUUUCGCGGGGGAUAACGUAGGGAAACUUACGCUAAUACCGCAUACGACCUACGGGUGAAAGCAGGGGAUCUUCGGACCUUGCGCGAUUGAAUGAGCCGAUGUCGGAUUAGCUAGUUGGCGGGGUAAAGGCCCACCAAGGCGACGAUCCGUAGCUGGUCUGAGAGGAUGGUCAGGCACACUGGAACUGAGACACGGGCCAGACUCGUACGAGAGGGAGCAGUGGGGGAUAUUGCGCAAUGGGCGGAAGCCUGAUGCAGCGAUACCGCAUGGGUGACGAAGGCCUUCGGGUUGUGAAGACCUUUUGUUGAGAAGGAAAAGCAGGGAGGUGGUGCCCGGCUAGUAUGCCGUGACCCAAGGAAUAAGCCCCGACUAACUUCGUG